GCAUUAAUGGGGUAGUGGUAACCUGGGUCGUUGCCAUACAUUCAAUCCACAAGAAGUAUGAGUUUCUCGACCCGCCGGGGGUUCGAUUCCCUCUUAAUACA